AUUGAACGCUGGCGGCAGGCCUAACACAUGCAAGUCGAACGAGUGGCGGACGGGUGUGUAACGUCUGGGAAACUGCCCGAUGGAGGGGGAUAACUAUUGGAAACGGUAGUUAAUACCGCAUUCCAUCGGAUGUGCCCAGGUGGGAUUAGCCAGUUGGUGGGGUAACGGCUCACCUAGGCCACGAUCGCUACCUGGUCUGAGAGGGUGACCAGCCACACUGGAGCUGAGACACGGUCCAGACUCCUACGGGAGGCAGCAGUGGGGAAUAUUGCACAAUGGGCGCAAGCCUAAUGCAGCCAUGCCGCGUGUAUGAAGAAGGCCUUCGGGUUGUAAAGUACUUUCAGCGAGGAGGGGUUACUCGCAGAAGAAGCACCGGCUAACUCCGUGCCAGCAGCCGCGGUAAUUC
rnacentral:rRNA from 1 species